UCAUAUGCACAUACCUUGAUCUUCGACGCGUUGAGAUAGGUCUCGUUCAGAUGUGUUGGGAGAAGAAGUGGUGAAAUUAGGGUUUUGAGAGAGUUGAAGACUAGUUGGGCUAUUUUGGGUAUUCCCAAUAACUUGAGAAAGGGCUGAAACCACUGCUGUACCGUACAUCCGCCUUGGCCGUACAGCAGUUUGAAAGUUUUCUUAAGAGUUCUUCUCUUUUGGAAACUUGCUGUGAAGUUGUAGCGGCCGCAGCAUGAUAAUAAUGAUCUUGAUAACGGUGAGUCGUGAGAUUAGCUUGAACUCUUUCUGGGAAGUUCAGCUUGGCUUUGCUUCCUUUGAACCUAAGAGCUGCUUCAUCGUAAGCAAGUGCUGCUGCUUCAGCUGUGUCAAAAGUUCCUAGCCAUACCCGUGCUGCCUUCUUAGGAUCACGAAUCUCAGCUGCCCAUUUGCCCCAUGGCCUUUGCCUCACUCCUCUGUAGUGUCUUCUCCUCACAUUCCCUUCAUAGGAUAUAUAUAGAAUAUCUUUAGUGUGUUUAUUAAAGAAACCGCUCAAUAGGAAGAAAAAUAAAUAAAUGCAAGUACAAGAAAUAUGAUUUUGAAACGUAAGCUUGCUAUCUUACAACAAUCAUAGUAAUCAAUAGCUGUUUAAUUCAACCCACAUAGUUAAGUAGUGAAGAUUAUGAAAAUGCCGCUAUAAAAUGUUAUUUAAACAUUACGAAAAAUGGCAAAAAUUGCACUACAUAGACGAGGAUUCAAUGCUGAUGUGGCUUUUUGGAGAUCAAUGGUUGCUAAGGAAGAAAAAUGAAAUAAUUAUAAAAAUAAAAAUAAAUCCUAACCAUUGAUCGGUCCAGUACUCAAUACAAAACCACCUCAUCUUUAAAUCAUAUCCAAAUAAAUUGUCAUAUGCAUAUACCUUGAUCUUUGACGCGUUGAGAUAGGUCUUGUUCAGAUGUGUUGGAAGAAGAAGUGGUGAAAUUAGGGUUUUGAGAGAGUUGAAGACUAGUUGGGCUAUUUUGGGUAUUCCCAAUAACUUGAGAAAGGGCUGAAACCACUGCUGUACCGUACAUCCGCCUUGGCCGUACCUCUUUCUCCUUCGAUACAUCGGAUGAAAGGGGCCUCUUCCCAUGUUUUCGAUCCACUUUUGAUCGGCUUGUCAAUAGUUUCAAACAACCCUUUCUGUUAGCUAGAACAUGCAAUUAAUAAUAAAUAACAGCACUUAAAUUUCAGAAUCACCAAAUUAAGCAACACAUGAAGACUAAAAUUAUGGUAUCAAGACCAAGAUCAAGAAGAAGCACAAAGAAAUAGACUUUGGAAACGAGGGGACAGAAAUGAUGUAUGACUAAAUAAGGAAUAUAAGAAGGUAGGGUUUUUCUGUAGCUACUAACAAAUCUAUUGGCUAGUGUGAACGGAGAGGAA
rnacentral:lncRNA from 1 species